GGCCGCAAGGUUAAAACUCAAAUGAAUUGACGGGGGCCCGCACAAGCGGUGGAGCAUGUGGUUUAAUUCGAUGCAACGCGAAGAACCUUACCUACUCUUGACAUCCAGAGAACUUUCCAGAGAUGGAUUGGUGCCUUCGGGAACUCUGAGACAGGUGCUGCAUGGCUGUCGUCAGCUCGUGUUGUGAAAUGUUGGGUUAAGUCCCGCAACGAGCGCAACCCUUAUCCUUUGUUGCCAGCGGUCCGGCCGGGAACUCAAAGGAGACUGCCAGUGAUAAACUGGAGGAAGGUGGGGAUGACGUCAAGUCAUCAUGGCCCUUACGAGUAGGGCUACACACGUGCUACAAUGGCGCAUACAAAGAGAAGCGACCUCGCGAGAGCAAGCGGACCUCAUAAAGUGCGUCGUAGUCCGGAUUGGAGUCUGCAACUCGACUCCAUGAAGUCGGAAUCGCUAGUAAUCGUAGAUCAGAAUGCUACGGUGAAUACGUUCCCGGGCCUUGUACACACCGCCCGUCACACCAUGGGAGUGGGUUGCAAAAGAAGUAGGUAGCUUAACCUUCGGGAGGGCGCUUACCACUUUGUGAUUCAUGACUGGGGUGAAGUCGUAACAAGGUAACCGUAGGGGAACCUGCGGUUGGAUCACCUCCUUACCUUAAAGAA
rnacentral:rRNA from 1 species